GACAGAGGUGCCAAGCGUUAGGCGGAAUCACUGGGCUUAAAGCGUGUGUAGGCGGGCGAUCAAGUACCUUGUGAAAUCCCACGGCUCAACCGUGGAACUGCUGGGUAUACUGGUUGUCUUGAGCCAGCUAGGGGCGAGCGGAACAGACGGUGGAGUCGGUGAAAUGCGUAGAUAUCGCUGGAACGCCGAAGGUGAAAACAGCUCGCUGGGGCUGCGCUACGCUGAGACA
rnacentral:rRNA from 1 species